rnacentral:misc_RNA from 1 species
UCUUCUCGGGGAGACGACCCCCUCUACGCUCGGAUCACGCCACCGUUCGCGCCUAUGAUCACGUAUGCCACGUUCUUUGUGUGGAUGAAAUAACGGUCCGAAAUCGAUGUUUCUCGAACUCGCUGCCUGGUGGCAACUAUGCGCUCGUCGAUACAUUGUAUGUUUUCCGUCGGGCAGAUAAGACGAUCUGCGCGCAACACUGUAGGACCGCGAGCGACGGUUAGAAAUACGACCUAUACUGAGCCUCGUGGCAUAACACUGUACAUAGUGGACCACAGUUUAGAAUUCGUCCAAAAAAUGCUGCAUCUAUAGAGAAACUGUUUACGCUUUAUGUGUAUGAUAUCUUCCUGUAUAAUAGAAAACUUUUGUCAGAAUAAUUUUUUAAUAUCGUCGUUCAUUUAUGAAGUAUUUAAACAUUUUGAAUUAAUUUAGGCAUUCUAUAUGGAAACGUAAUUCACAUUCAGAACAUUCUGACGACUUCAAUGAUAAUAGUUACAUAAUCUUAAAGUUUAUCGCCUGGCAGUCACUGAUGGCGAACAGAUUAGUAUCUACAUACUUCAUAUCGUGAGAUAAAAUUAAUCAGCCAUUAAGGCACAACUUUUUCCUUAAACAAAAUAUAUCAUUUAAUCAUUCUCUACACUUUGAACAACAACAACAAUCAACCAUCGUUUCGUUUCCAUAACUAUGAUAUUAUUCGAAUUUUAAUAUUAUUUGAACAUUAUUCAAAUAAUAUGUCUUAUAUAAUAUAUUAUAAGUUUUUUUGAAAUAAUUGUGCGGGAGUUUAUUUGAUAUAAAUAUAAAUAAUAACUUAACUAUAACGUUAACUUUCUUUACAUUAUUUCAUUAUAUAGCUAUCAAAUGAAAUAACUUCUACUUUAUUUUUUAUUGUGUAUUUAAAUAAAUUGUUAUUUAAAUAAUUUCUUGAAUACUUCCCUAACCUUUUAUAUUAAUAUUUUAAACUGUGUCAGAAAUACAGAUUUUUUUACAUUUGCGUUCCAUAUCGAUGACACUACACUGUAACUUGUCGAAUUAAUCGAAUUGAUUUUGGGUAACUGAUUGAACAACGAGGAAGAACAGUAAUUGAAAGCGUGAAGAAUAAUCAACGAUACCGAAAGUUGUACUUCUCCGAGCGACGAGAAGGUUUCGA